GUGCUUGCUUUGGCAGCACAUAUGCUAAAAUUGGCACUAUUCAGAGAAUAUUAGCAUGGCCCCUGAGCAAAGAUGAUACACAAAUUCAUGGAGUGUUCCAUAUUUUU
ensembl:snRNA U6 U6 spliceosomal RNA